ensembl:lncRNA
GCCUGGGGUUUGUCUUAACCAGGCUUCUGCGAUUGGCUGGGGGUCCUGCAAUGGCUUUCACUUUCUAUUCCCCCCACACAAUCUCAUUUCACGUUCUCUCUCCCACGUGCAACAUCUAGAGGCAGCAAACUAGUCGUAGCUGGCCUACAGCCACAGCUGAAUUUGAAUUAUUGCCAAUGCUUUAGAUCAUUACUUAAUAAUAUCACUUAAUAAUCUGGAUUUUGACGUUUCUUGAGAAAAUAGGAAGAUUAGGCUAUGGUUGUUCAGCAUCCCUGCAUGGCAGCACCUGGCCACAGCUGAGGAGUGACUGCUACUUUGAAUGAGGUCUGUACACCCUGCUCCCCACUCCCAGUGGCUGCUUUCCUUGACCUGUCUGGCCUAUGUAAGUGUUUGAAGUUUGAAACCUUUGAAGCAGAGAAUAAGAUCCUAAGGCACUAUUAGCACUUAAAGAUGAACAAAUCCAUCACGUCUGUUGAAAAAUAGGCCCAGAUUGCUCAUCCUUCUUUAUCAGACCUUAACUGUGCAGUUGCCAGAACGCUGUGGUCGGUGGCAGGAACCUCAGCUUUGGAAUCCGAAAACGGGUUUGUGUCCAGGCUCUGGCAUCCAUUAGCUUUGUGAUGCCAAGGAAGAAAAAGUCACAUUCUAGAUGGGUGGUUCCCCAAGUGGGGUGCAACAAUCCAAGGAGUGGCAGGAGGUUUGGGGACCACUCUCUGGAGCACACAUGGAGUGACAUAAGGUGGGAGGAGGCUGAUCUUUCUAGCUGAAUUUCAGAGAAGCUCAGGAUGUGACAACACCAAAUGUGGCAGAGGACGUGUGACACAAGGCUGAUAAUAGAAUUAACUGAAAGUCUGCAUGUGGAACAACCGGGUCUUCCCAUCUUACUCCUAUCCCUGAAGCAAGGUCUCCAUCAUCCAGGAAAGGUACUCUCAAUUUACACUCUUAAAAAAAUAAUAAUUGACUAUCUACGGAGCAGGGGUAUCAGCACAUUCUAGUAUUUAGGACUCCCAGGGAUUUGAAGUGUUAAUUAAGAAUAGAAUGUAAAUGUUCUUAUCCUUAAAAUUGCAUAUGGCAGAAGUUGGGAGGUAGUCACUGAAGAGAAGUUGAGGGAUGCUGUUACCUUCAUCUUAGAAAGUGAACAGUCAAGAGAUACUAUCUUUAGUUGAUGGAACAAGAAAUAAAGGUGUAUUCGUGCAACACAGGCAGCCUACAGAAAAACAAAGAAGUUAUACAACUACAGAAAGAGAAGAGGGGGUGCUGGUGAAAAUGAGCUAAACCCUUCCCUUUAUUAUUUCACAGUUCUGUAGCUCAGAACUUGCCAGAUUAAAUGGGUUCCCUGCUUAGGGUCUCACAAGGCUGAAAUCAAGGUGUAGGCCAGGCUGGGCUCCUAUCUAGGGGGUCUGGCAAAGAACCUACUUGCAAGUUCAUUCAGGCGGUUGGCAGAAUUUAAGUCCUUGCAGUUGUAAGGCUGAGGGCCUGUUUUCUUGAUGUUUUUUUGGCAAGGGGUUGCUCUGAGCUCCUAGAGGCUGCUCUCAGGGCCUUUCCAUGUGGCCUCCUCCAUCUUAAAACCAGCAUCAAAAUAUCUCUCUUGCAUUGAAACCUUCGCAUGCUUCAAAUCUCUGUGACCUGCUACCAGCCAGAAAAAACUCUCAGCUUUUAAAGUGCUCGUGUGAUUAGGUU